rnacentral:lncRNA from 1 species
AGGAUACCCUUUUUGGCGUUUUGCGGAAAAUCGCUACUGCGCGCCCAAUAUCAGUCCGAUUUUCAUCAAAUUUUCACCAAAUGUUCUCCAGUGCAUGCAAAAUAUGGUAAAGUUGUAAAAUUAACAAACAAUAGAAUAAUGUAAGAAUUAUUCAGGAAAAUCUUAAAUCGCGGUACCUUUACGCUUUUGAGUUGUGCUCCUGCUGGUUUUAAGUUAUAUUUAUGAAAAUAUCAUUUUUACACAGUAAAAUAGUUGUUAUAAAAAAUUGUGUUCGGAAAUUUUUGUUUAUUUCGUCAUUCCGCUGAUAUGGCGAUUCUUUGACGACUGCAAUAUAUUUCUGAAUUGUUUGAGUCAAUUGCUCUUUAUUUUUAAAAUAUCCAAAAUUAAAAAAAAGCCGAACACAAUUUUGAAACUGACGUAUUUAGCUAUGUCCUGUUAAAAUUUGAGAAAAAUUGGUUAAAACCCGCAGGAGCACAACUCGUUUGAAAAUCAGUAAUUACCGUAAAAUUUUUCGGGAGAAAAUUGAAUUUGAAUAUUACAUUUUCAAUGUUUUUCUUAUUGCAGCGAAAUGUAUUUUACUAAAUAA